ACGGAAGGCAGCAGUGAGGAAUAUUGGUCAAUGGGCGGAAGCCUGAACCAGCCAAGUCGCGUGAAGGAAGAAGGUAUUAUGUAUUGUAAACUUCUUUAGCAGCAGAGAAAUAAGGUGGACGUGUCCACUGAUGCUAGUAUGCUGAGAAUAAGCAUCGGCUAACUCCGUGCCAGCAGCCGCGGUAAUACGGAGGAUGCGAGCGUUAUCCGGAUUUAUUGGGUUUAAAGGGUGCGCAGGCGGUCGAUUAAGUCAGUGGUCAAAUCACGGUGCUCAACGCCGUUCCGCCAUUGAUACUGGUUGACUUGAUUCCGGUCGAGGCAGGCGGAAUUCGUAGUGUAGCGGUGAAAUGCAUAGAUAUUACGAAGAACUCCGAUUGCGUAGGCAGCUUACCAGGCCGGCAAUGACGCUCAUGCACGAAAGUGCGGGGAUCGAACAGGAUUAGAUACCCUGGUA
rnacentral:rRNA from 1 species